rnacentral:rRNA from 1 species
UAAUACGGAGGGUGCUAGCGUUGUUCGGAAUUAUUGGGCGUAAAGAGCGUGUAGGCGGCCUCGUAAGUCAGAUGUGAAAGCCCUUGGCUUAACCAAGGAAGUGCAUUUGAAACUGCUUGGCUUGAGUACGGGAGGGGAAAGCGGAAUUCCCGGUGUAGAGGUGAAAUUCGUAGAUAUCGGGAGGAACACCGGUGGCGAAGGCGGCUUUCUGGACCGAUACUGACGCUGAGACGCGAAAGCGUGGGGAGCAAACAGG